rnacentral:rRNA from 1 species
CCUACGGGUGGCAGCAGUGGGGAAUAUUGCACAAUGGAGGGAACUCUGAUGCAGCGACGCCGCGUGAGUGAAGAAGUAAUUCGUUAUGUAAAGCUCUAUCAGCAGGGAAGAAAGUGACGGUACCUGAAAAAGAAGCUCCGGCUAAAUACGUGCCAGCAGCCGCGGUAAUACGUAUGGAGCAAGCGUUAUCCGGAUUUACUGGGUGUAAAGGGAGAGUAGGUGGCAGAGCAAGUCCGAAGUGAAAACCCAAAGCUCAACUAUGGGAAUGCUUUAGAAACUGUGUUUCUUGAGUGCUGGAGAGGCAAUCGGAAUUCCGUGUGUAGCGGUGAAAUGCGUAGAUAUACGGAGGAACACCAGUGGCGAAGGCGGAUUGCUGGACAGUAACUGACGCUGAGGCGCGAAAGCGUGGGGAGCAAACAGGAUUAGAUACCCUAGUAGUC